GACGAACGCUGGCGGCGUGCUUAACACAUGCAAGUCGAACGGAAAGGCCCUGCUUUUGUGGGGUGCUCGAGUGGCGAACGGGUGAGUAACACGUGAGUAACCUGCCCUUGACUUUGGGAUAACUUCAGGAAACUGGGGCUAAUACCGGAUAGGAGCUCCUGCUGCAUGGUGGGGGUUGGAACGUUUCGGCGGUUGGGGAUGGACUCGCGGCUUAUCAGCUUGUUGGUGGGGUAGUGGCUUACCAAGGCUUUGACGGGUAGCCGGCCUGAGAGGGUGACCGGCCACAUUGGGACUGAGAUACGGCCCAGACUCCUACGGGAGGCAGCAGUGGGGAAUAUUGCACAAUGGGCGGAAGCCGGAUGCAGCAACGCCGCGUGCGGGAUGACGGCCUUCGGGUUGUAAAACGCUUUCGCCUGUGACGAAGCGUGAGUGACGGUAAUGGGUAAAGAAGCACCGGCUAACUACGUG
rnacentral:rRNA from 1 species